CCCUUAGAUGUUCUGGGCCGCACGCGCGCUACACUGAAGGCAUCAGCGUGUCCUUCCCUCCCCGAGAGGGGCGGGUAACCCGCUGAACCGCUUUCGUGGUAGGGAUCGGGGCUUGCAAUUAUUCCCCGUGAACCAGGAAUUCCCAGUAAGCGCGAGUCAUAAGCUCGCGUUGAUUACGUCCCUGCCCUUUGUACACACCGCCCGUCGCUCCUACCGAUUGAAUGCUCAGGUGAGCCAUUCGGACUUUCAUCAUGCUGGUUUCCAGUUUUGAUGAAGGAAAGUCUUGCGAACCUUAUCAUUUAGAGGAAGGAGAAGUCGUAACA
rnacentral:rRNA from 1 species